UACGAAGGGUGCAAACGUUGCUCGGAAUCAUUGGGCGUAAAGCGCACGUAGGCGGCGCUCUAAGUCGGAUGUGAAAUCCCUCGGCUCAACCGAGGACGUGCAUCCGAAACUGGAGUGCUCGAGUAUGCAAGAGGGUCGCGGAAUUCUCGGUGUAGAGGUGAAAUUCGUAGAUAUCGGGAGGAACACCAGUGGCGAAGGCGGCGACCUGGGGCAAUACUGACGCUGAGGUGCGAAAGCGUGGGGAGCAAACAGGAUUAGAUACCCCCGUAGUCC
rnacentral:rRNA from 1 species